rnacentral:lncRNA from 13 species
AUGACAAUGAGUUUCUUUGGAAAAUUGAAGAACCUACACAGUGGGCCUCCAGCUCCACCCAAAAGAAUAGAGAACAAUGCGGGGUAUGGUGGCUGGCCAGAAGAUGAGUUUGACGAUGAGGAUGGGAACACAUAUGAGGCUCCCCCCUGUGAGCGACCGGCCAUGAAGGUUCCUCCCAGACAUGUGGAGGAGAACGUCUAUUUAGAUAGUUCUUCAGAGAGGUCCAAUCGUGUUCUUCCCAAAAGGCAGGCAGCACCACCCCCAAGGCCAGCCAAGAUGGCGCCCAUGGGCAAAGCAUCGAAACAGCAGCCUCACCAUCAGCCUGACCCUGAGGAGUUCUACAUCGACCCCAACACCAAGAAACCUCCUGAGGUAGACAGGAAGGAGAAGCCAGGGAAAAGGUCUACUCCUAAGAAGUCUGCCCCUCCUCCUUCCCGCCCUGCCCCUGCUCCCACCCCUCCCCCUGCAGAGGAAGAUGUCUACCUGGAUCCUAAUGAAGGACAGGCAGACAGUGAUGACCUGUAUCUGGAGCCCACAGCAGCUUGCCCCCCUGCUCCUCGCGGGCCCAUAAGGAUGCCCCUCCUACCCAAGACAGCAAUUGCCCCUCCCCCCAUGCCCAUAAAACCUCCAGUACCCAGAGCCAAGUCGAGUUCUCUACUGGUCAGUGAGGCAAAGACAGCUCCUCCGCCUGAUGUGAAACGCUCCACGUUCCCUGGCAAGCUGCCCCCACCCACCCCAGGCAUCAAACCCCCCCUCCCUGCAUCCCUAAAGGAACCCAAACCCAGCCCCCCUCCCCCGCCCAUUAUAGACACUACCGCAGCAGUUUCUCCCUCUGGUAUGCAGACAACCAUGCAGGCAGGAAAGGAGGAGAAAGAGUGGUUCGCUGGAAACUGCAAUAGAAAGACUGCUGAGGACCUCUUAAUGCAGAUCAACAAGGAUGGGGCAUUCCUGAUACGUCACAGUUCAGCCCAGAACGCCCGUCANNNNNNNNNNAACAGUGAAUCAAUACUUCAUUGA